AUUUUUCGUCAACAGCAGUUCACCUAGUGAGUGUUGAGACUCUGGGUCUGAGUGAAGCUGAGGGUAGAGGGAACACAGGGUUGGGGUAGUUUCUCUCUUUGGGCUGACAGGCUUUGUCACCCACACACAUCCAGAGGUGCCCACGAGUGUAUUCGGGGAGAAGCUUCGAGAACAAGUUGAAGAGCGACUGUCCUUCUAUGAGACUGGAGAGAUACCACGAAAGAAUCUGGAUGUCAUGAAGGAAGCAAUGGUUCAGGCAGAGGAAGCGGCUGCUGAGAUUACUAGGAAGCUGGAGAAACAGGAGAAGAAACGCUUAAAGAAGGAAAAGAAACGGCUGGCUGCACUUGCCCUCGCGUCUUCAGAAAACAGCAGUAGUACUCCAGAGGAGUGUGAGGAGACGAGUGAAAAACCCAAAAAGAAGAAAAAGCAAAAGCCCCAGGAGGUUCCUCAGGAGAAUGGAAUGGAAGACCCACCUAUCUCUUUCUCCAAACCCAAGAAAAAGAAAUCUUUCUCCAAGGAGGAGUUGAUGAGUAGCGAUCUUGAAGAGACCGCUGGCAGCACCAGUAUUCCCAAGAGGAAGAGGUCUACACCCGAGGAGGAAACAGUUAAUGACCCUGAAGAGGCAGGCCACAGAAGUGGCUCCAAGAAAAAGAGGAAAUUCUCCAAAGAGGAGCCGGUCAGUAGUGGGCCUGAAGAGGCGGCUGGCAAGAGCACCUCCAAGAAGAAGAAAAAGUUCCAUAAAGCAUCCCAGGAAGAUUAGAAUGCAAAUGGACAUUCUCUGGGAGGUGGGGCAUACCAUAGCCCAAGGUGACAUUUCCCACCCUGUGCCGUGUUCCCCAAUAAAAAUAAAUUCACAAGA
rnacentral:sRNA from 1 species